GGAGCAGGGCUACUUAAACCAAAGAUUUACAUUUGAAUUCAUAAUGCUAAGAUGCUGCUGUGAUCCAGUCUAAAGACCAUUUCUGGAGUAAAUGGACUUGGGUCCUAGGUUCUAUUCGUCUCUUUCACUUACUAGCCAUGUGACUUCGAGUAAGUCUCUUAAUUCUUCAGUUUUACUUUUUCUCAUUUGUGAAAACUUAAGUCUCAGCACUGUGAGGAUGCAAUUCAGUGUACUGUAAAAGGCCGGUGGGCAGUGGGCGGGCGUCUUCUUCCACAAGCACACCAUGUGGGUCUCAAUCCGGGCACCUUAUACAGUGUUUGAGUGCCGGCGCUCAGCAAAAUAAGGAGCUUGCUUCCUAUACCCACAGUUAAUUGUUACCAAAAAAGUCAGCUGAGCCAGACAGUGAGCUUAGUGCUAUAUCUAAUUUACUUCUUGGUGCAAGCUCUUCGCAAACAGGUGACAGCCUGCAGAUCUUGGCUGAUCUGUGCCCUAUCCUAGUCUCCAAAAUACUUUAAUAUCUGAAUAAAAGAUGACUUCUCAAGCUUUGUGCACUGUGAGGUUCAGACUUGAACAUUCCCAAAUUAACUAAAAAACCAGAGCAAGAACUUACAGCACCAGGUCUUUUCCAAAUCUAAAACUAGCUGCUGUGAGAUUUAACAUCUCUAAGACUUAGCUUCCUUAACUGUUACUGAUCCUCCUUUAAAUUACAAAUGUAACUAAUUACAUUGUAAAAAACUUUCAGAAGCAUAUAGAGUAACAAUGAAAGCUCCCCACCUCACCCUCCUCUAACCCUUCGAUCACACUCCUCAGGAAUAAGUACAGUCAAAUAAUGGUCCUUUGUGUUUAGGGAUGUGUGUACACAUAUAGAUACCAAUUUUGUUAUUUUCUUAAAAAAAUGGUGGGAUCACAAAUGCAGGUCAGCAACUUGCUUUUUACUUUAGAAGUAUAUCAUAGAUAACUCUUAUGGUGGUACACUGACAGUGUCAACAGCAUUGUUUUUAAGCUGUACGUCCAUGGCAUGGAGACCCAAUAAAUUAACUGUUUCCUUAUUGAGAGAAACUUAAAUCUCAACUUUUUUCAGCACAACAAGCUGGUCGUAUCUACAUGCAUAUCUAUCGAUAUUUCUAUAGACUAGGUUUUAAGUGGUGUGACUGACAGGUCAAAGGGCAGGAACCUUUGUACUCCUGACAGAUACAAAGUGCUUCAAAAGGGUUCAAUCCAGUGAUUCUCAACUGGGGCACUUUUGGCCCCCAGAGCUUACAUAAAGCUGCUUGCCUAGGGAGGAGCAAGAGGACAGAGCUCAUCACUGGGAACUAACUCAAGCUCACUGUCUGGAUCUGCUAUUUCCUAACAGCAUCUUGGGCCAAGAACCUAGAAUUGCCCAUGUAUGAGGGAGCUGAGACUGCACUGGGGUCCAAGUAGAAGCAAAGGCAAAACUGCAAGCAGGGGUAGUAACAGGGAAGUAUGUUGGGGAAAAGGGGGUGGGAGGAAGGAACCAACUGCCUCCCCCACAAAAUCUACCUUGCAAGCCAAAAUUCCAAAAUACAUGAAGAACUCUAAGAGGUUAAGAAGAUAAAUGCAACAAUAUACAAUAAUAAUAAAAAUACCCCAUGUUCCCUUUCAUCCCCAGGUCUUACAUGUGUGAAGCCAAGAGUCUUGCUCUCCCCAGCCUCCUCCUACACAUUUCAUGCCGUCAAGACACUGCUUUAACCACUUCCCACACCCACCAUAAAGCAUCCCCAAGUCCACAAGACUGAGGCCUGGCCUCAUGCUUACGUACUCCCCCAAGAAUCUGGCUUAUUCCUUUAAUUUUUUUGACCAUGCUAAGCUUUCACUGCUUGUUUACAGUCUCUUACCACUUGUCUGCUAACUGCCUGAGUCCAGGGACUACCUUGUUCCAAAUCAGCAUCUGCUGAGACUGAAGGAAUGGAUGACUUGCGUAAAGUAUUUACCUUCAUUAAAGCUGUCUCACCACUGUUCUGCUGGACAUUGACAAAAGCUCCUGCUUCCAAAAGGAUAGCCACUGUAGUUAAAAAGUUCUAGUACAAAAGAAUAAAAGGCAAAUUAAAUUCCAGAAAUUCUUUAAGAAUUAAUGUUUUGAAAUUUUUAGUCAUCAGGAAAAACAGAAGAGUUUCUAUCCUAAGCAGACUGCCGAACAUUUUCCAAUUUCUUUAUUGUACACCCAGGAUGCUUCAAUGUGAAAUUACCCAUGAGAACCUGAUGCUGCAGGGAACUGUGCCCCCUCCCCACUGUGCUCUUAGGCACAAAUACAGGCAGACACCAUUUUCCCAGCCAUUUCAACCUCAAGUGUCACCACUGGCUUCAACGUAAGGGCCUCCGCAUACAGACUCUUCGACAAUAUAGAUCAUGUUUUGAAAAUUCGAUUACACAGUACGACUACUGAAAUAUGAAAUUAUAGUCAUGAUUGUAGAUCUCCAUUCCUCCUUAUGUUUCAAUAUAGUAUCAGGAUACUGAUUCUUUCUAGGUUUGCUGCAGGAAUUUUCAUUGUGGUUACAAAAUUGAUGCCUAUUAAAAGUUACCUUCUCCGCUGCAUGGAUUAGUGCCGUGGUUCCGUUCUUCUGUCUGCCAUUAACUUUUGCUCCUUUUCUGAUGAGGAGCCUAAGCAAGUCAUCUUGCCCCCCUGCCGCAGCGAGCAUCACAAGGGUCAUCCCACUUGAAUCCUUGAUUUUUUUUUUUUGUCAUAGAAAAAACAUGUUAAUAUUCAAUCAGAAGAAUUUUAGAACUAAGUCUUUUCACCUAGGAUGCUUCAAUGUGAAAUUACCAAACACACUCAUUUCAGCAUCCACUUUUUUCACUAAAAUCUCCUAAUAAACAUUCGGCAAUAGUAACCUUAAAUUUUUUUUUCAUCUGUAAGUGUUACCAUAAAUUUUCACAAUUUUCAUGUAAAGUUCUGAAGGCACAUCGACAGUUUGUGUGAUGUAAAAUGAACAGUGAAUCUUGAUGCUGUAUAAAUGGCAAAGGCACUUAAUUUUUAUAUCACGUUUUAGGUCCAAGUCUCCAUUGUAUUCUAGGUAAAACAGGUGAAAUUCAUACAUUCAUUUUAUUCAUUCAAGUUGGCCCAAAGAUGUAAGGCUAGAAAUGACCACAUAAGUCCUUACGAAGUCACAUAAAUCCAUUUUAUUGAUGACAAGCUAAAAUGAAUGCUAUUUGUACUAGACAAAUGCUGGCCUGUAGAAAUAAAAUUGGGACAUGGGACCGAACACUCUAAGAAUAAAGAAGAAAAAGAAGUAGAAAAAAGAUACUGAUAUGAUUAGAUCCUAAGAGGCCAGGACAAAAUAGAGAAAUGGAAGAAAAGUGCUUUGAAUAGGGAUAAAAAUGACCUAAAAUUGACAAAAAUAAAAAAAGGUAAUUUUUAGCUAGUAUAUUUCUAGUCUCUAGUCAAUGGCACCAUUUGAUAAAACCAAAUCCCAAUAAUAUGAGUUAAUCUGGUUAUAAUGUAAAAGCUUAGCUGAGUUUACUAUAUCACAAAUAUAAGAAAAAUUAAUUUUGGCAGUAGCACUUUAGAUAGACUUGAGAUCCACUAAAAUUGAAAUAAAUCAUGUAAUCACUUCCUUUCAUUUGUAAAGCAUCUAUUAUUACAAAAACAUCUAUAUGGAAAAAACUUUUUCCAAUUUUAAAAAGAAAGUUCCCUGGAGCUACUAUGCUAUAUUAAGAAAGACCAAAUUACAUAAGCAUCAAAGUAGAAGAAAAAAAAGCAUCUGAUAAAAUCCAAUAUCCAUCCCUGAUAAAAACUUAAGAAGCUAAUGAAGAAACAUUAAAGGCAACUUGCAAGGAACACAUAGCAUAACAAAUAGCAUACUUAACACUGAAUCUAAAGGAAAAAUUCUCAUUCAGUUCGGAACAGGAUAGUAUCACCUGUAUUGCCACCAUUAUCCAAAAUGUUACCAAUUUCACAAGACCAGAAAAAGAAGCAAUAUCAGAAUUUUUUUUUUUUUUUUUUUUCAGAUUGAUUAAAUUCUCUGGGGAAAUCCAAGGCAAGUAACUUAAAAAUGUUCAGAAUAAGGUGACUGGACAAUAUGACACACCUGCACGCACACACACAGACAUCCACAGCUUUAUCAUACACAAGUAAUAACCAUUUAGGAAGCAAAAUGUGGGGGAACAAAGACCAUAAUUAUCAUAGUAAGAUAAAAAUUAAAAAUUAUGUAGAAGUAAAUCUAAAAGAAAUGUGCUACACCUAUACAAAGAAAUAAAUACAUUAAACUUUGCUUAAUGGCAUAAAUGAAGAGCUGAAUGAAUGUAGAGUGUUACUGUGUUUCUAGAUGGAAGGAGUCAACAUGUAAAAAAUGUCAAUUCUCAGCCCAAAUCUAUGUAUUUCAUACAAUUUUAAUCAAAAUCUCAAUGAUAUUUUUUGGAAAUAUAAUAUGAAAGGAUUAAACCUAAGAACAAACAAAAACUGCAGCUAAACCAGAAGUAAUAGAAUACAAGAAUACUUUUUAAAGAAGAUACCCAAAGCCAUACGGAAAACGAGUGACAGCUAUAAUUACCUAAAAAUAUAAACCCUCUAUGCAAUGACAGACAAAAAACAAAACUGAAAAUUAGGAAGGGCAACAUGUCUACAUAACAAGUUCCUAAAAAUCAAUAUGAAAACCCCACAAUGACAAUAGAAACAUGAGCAAUUUCUAUAAAUAGCAACCACCAAAGAAACACAAAUGGUCAAACUAAAACAACAAGGUAUCCUUUUACAACAUCUCAAACUGACAGGGAUGUAAACAACAGAUAAAAUCACAAAGAUAGCAAGCUAACCAAAUGGUCAUUUUUAGGCUUGGAAUUACGGACACGGUAUUUUUCUAAAUUCAGUAUUUCUAAAAUGUUGGACUUUAGUAAAGUGAAUACGCAUUACUGUUACAAUUAAAACAAAAGGAAAGAAAAAUCUAAACUCUUUCAACCUCCUGCAGUGAGCUUUUUCCAAGACACCUUACCUCUUGGUCCAAGUUAUAGUCUUCGUUUGAAUUCAGGGCAACCUUUACGGUAAUAUAAUCCCCAUUUUUCACAGCAUCCCUCAAUAAAUCUGAAAUGAAAAGAUGAAUGAGGUUUUUUAUUAUCUAGAUCUGUAAAAGGGAUUCCUAGAAUUCUAAAACUACUCACUAUUUGGAAUUGCGUCUGCUGUAGCAAAACUCUCAUCUUCCCCAGCAAGAUGCUUUUGGAAAUCUUCCAGUUUCAUCCACUCCAGCUGCAAGUCCAUGCCUAAGCUCAAGAUCUGCUGCUUGCCAUCUGGAACACAGAGGAGCUUCGUAAGACCCAUUUUCCUGGACAUGCUGCUUUAUUACAUUUGUGGUGUCUAAACCAAAACCCUAUAAUGUUUUAACAAGGGUUAUUAAAUAACUGAGUCUUUUCUGUAAUUGAUAAAAUCUGGAUUUUCUUUGGGAGGUAACACAAACUACCCACAUUUAGAGGUCACAGUGUUUCAAAAGCAUAAAGAUAAAAAGGUAACCUAUAACUGUGAAAGAAUGAAAUAAGAAUUUUAAGUACAAGACUAAAAAGUAGCUCAAAGGGGGAGAAAUCAUAGGGAUUAACCAAGAGGAAUUUCAAGUAAUUCUUACUGGACUGACUUCUUUCUUUGACAUACAUUGCUUAGAACUAUUUAGAUAGGUGAUACCACUCUAAAUGUGAAAAUAAAACUCACUGCCUAUUGAUCCUUUCAGACUCAACUCAAACUUCUUCUAGAAGCCUUCCUGCUGGCUGGCUAAAACCAACAGAAAGCAAUAAAGGACAGUGAGGACAACUGGGGAAUUUGAAUGCAGCUGCAUUACUGAUCUAAUAGUAUCGAUAUGUUACAUGGCCAUGUUAAAUUUUCCUGAGUGUGAUACUGCAGGAGGAAUGUCUUUGCUGUUAUGAAAUACAUUCACCAAUUCAAAGGAAAGAGUGAUAUGACAUGUGAAAUUUGCUUAAAAAUACUCCUGUAGAAGGGGCAAGAUGGCAGCAUAAAGAGGACUUGAAUUUAGUUAGUCCCCUGAAGCAACUAAUAAACAACCAGAAACAACUAGUAAAUAAUCUGGAACAAUCACUGGGGGACAACGGUGACCAUCCACACAUCAUAUGAUCAACCUGGAUUGGGUGGAAUGGCUGAGACUGCAGCAUAAAAUCUUUAAGUAAAAACUGUGGAACUACGCUGGGAGCCCUCUCCUCCCAUGGCAGGCUGAGCUGCAAGACUACGCUGUAGGAAAAAGCAGCAGUCCUGGAGCAGGCGAAUAUAGCUCAGCCCAGCUCCUAAAAGGGCAUUUAAUUAACAAAUGUGGACUGCCGAAUACAAGCUACAAACAAAGACAAACCCCUAACAAGCAGACAGAGGCUUUUAAUGAUGACAGACCUUAAAGAGCCACAAAACACCUGUGCCCCAGGAAAGAGAGCCCAGAAGACCAGGUGUUCUCUCUGACUGAUGGGCAAAACUGGCGGGCCUGUGGACUAGCUCUGAAAGGAGGCUUUCUUUCCUUUAUUCUCUCUCUCAAUCUGAGUGGCUCAGUGGAGAGAGCCUCAGCCAUUUUCAGUUCACAGCACUCUGACCCAGACGGGGGAGAUAACAGAGUCAGAGAGACAAAGGAGCAAUUGAAAUGCAGAAGCUAACUCCCUAGGGAGUGUAUCUUCCCUUAGGAGAAGGAGGUAGGGCCCAGUUCUAGUGCAGGCCUUCCCUUCAGAACUCAAAACACCAGGGCCUGGGGGGAAACAAUCAAACCAGAAACCUAAGCUGAGAACUAAAGGGGCCACACCUCCUUAUACCAGUCAGGAGUGACAAGCUGACAG